rnacentral:rRNA from 1 species
GUAGGUGGCAAGCGUUAUCCGGAAUUAUUGGGCGUAAAGCGCGCGCAGGCGGUCUCUUAAGUCUGAUGUGAAAGCCCACGGGCUCAACCGUGGAGGGUCAUUGGAAACUGGGAGACUUGAGUGCAGGAGAGAAAAGUGGAAUUCCACGUGUAGCGGUGAAAUGCGUAGAGAUGUGGAGGAACACCAGUGGCGAAGGCGGCUUUUUGGCCUGUAACUGACGCUGAGGCGCGAAAGCGUGGGGAGCAAACAGGAUUAGAUACCCUGGUAGUCCACGCCGUAAACGAUGAGUGCUAGGUGUUGGGGGGUUCCACCCUCAGUGCUGAAGUUAACACAUUAAGCACUCCGCCUGGGGAGUACGACCGCAAGGUUG